GACGAACGCUGGCGGCGUGCUUAACACAUGCAAGUCGAACGGAAAGGCCCUGCUUUUGUGGGGUGCUCGAGUGGCGAACGGGUGAGUAACACGUGAGUAACCUGCCCUUGACUUUGGGAUAACUUCAGGAAACUGGGGCUAAUACCGGAUAGGAGCUCCUGCUGCAUGGUGGGGGUUGGAAAGUUUCGGCGGUUGGGGAUGGACUCGCGGCUUAUCAGCUUGUUGGUGGGGUAGUGGCUUACCAAGGCUUUGACGGGUAGCCGGCCUGAGAGGGUGACCGGCCAAAUUGGGACUGAGAUGCGGCCCAGACUCCUACGGGAGGCAGCAGUGGGGAAUAUUGCACAAUGGGCGGAAGCCUGAUGCAGCAACGCCGCGUGCGGGAUGACGGCCUUCGGGUUGUAAACCGCUUUCGCCUGUGACGAAGCGUGAGUGACGGUAAUGGGUAAAGAAGCACCGGCUAACUACG
rnacentral:rRNA from 1 species